rnacentral:siRNA from 1 species
CUUAAAGAGAAGAUUUUAUUUAU